rfam:Xenopus laevis strain J chromosome 2L, whole genome shotgun sequence.
GAGCAAUGAUGACAAUGACAUUACCCAGAUUAUAACCAUGAUGGUUUCUACACUUGAUCUGAGCUCA